CAUAUUUCUUUUUUCUCCUUCACGUGUAGCCUAUCUCUCUCACGCGAUAGCAUCUCUUUUUCGUUCAACCCACGACUGCGCCGCCAUCCUUUCUCACUGUUCUCGCGACCAGCCAGCCGCCCUCCGCCGUCUGCUUCUCACCAUUCACACAACCAGCCAGCCGCCCUCCACCGCCUGCUUCUCACCGUUCACACAACCAGCCAACCGCCUUCCGCCGAUGUCGUCCGCCUCCACUGAUUUCGCACAGAUCCAUCUCCACCGUUUGAAAGGGGAGCGCCUCUUGGACUCCCUUUGAAAGGUGGUGGCCAAGAAUCAUCAGAUACACAACCGAGGGCCAAUGGAAUUACCCCCAAAGCCAGUGAUGCCUUGUCUGGUGAACUUUGGGAGGCAAAGAAAGAUAGGGUACGCAAAGCUUCCAUAUACGGGAAGUUACCUAGUUGGGACUUGCGAUCGGUUAUUGUAAAGAGUAGAGAUGAUUGCAGGCAGAGUAUCCGCCUCCACUGAUUUCGUGCGCAGCAACCGUCCCGUUUAAAUAAGAGAUAUCCCGCAUUUAAGGUUAGUAGGAGUUAUAUUUGAGUUUUUUUAAUAACAUUUUGACGAUGUUCAGAGAUUGUUACUCAUAAUUGUGAAAAUGGCUGAGCAACAAUUGGAAAUGGAAUUAAGUCAUUGAAAAAUCUGCCGUUCAUUUUUAUAUGUCAGCUAAGUGUAUGAGAGAGUUGUUGGUAGGUUUUCAUUGGUUUGACGUUUCUACUCUGCAAGUUUGGUGCACGUAAGUUCAUUUUUAAACAAUUUUGUUUUCUAUUUUUUAAUUUUGAUAACAUAGAUAUUUUAUAUGACUUUUGUAUUUCCAUACACAUGUACAAACAACAUUGGUAAUUAAUAGUUUUGUGUUAAAGAGACAAUAUUGUUGUCGUCUUUUGUUCACUUU